UACGAAGGGGGCUAGCGUUGCUCGGAAUCACUGGGCGUAAAGCGCACGUAGGCGGAUUGCUAAGUCAGGGGUGAAAUCCUGGAGCUCAACUCCAGAACUGCCCUUGAUACUGGCGGUCUCGAGUCCGGGAGAGGUGAGUGGAACUGCGAGUGUAGAGGUGAAAUUCGUAGAUAUUCGCAAGAACACCAGUGGCGAAGGCGGCUCACUGGCCCGGUACUGACGCUGAGGUGCGAAAGCGUCGGGAGCAAACAGG
rnacentral:rRNA from 1 species